CUGCUGCCUCCCGUAGGAGUCUGGGCCGUGUCUCAGUCCCAGUGUGGCCGAUUAACCUCUCAGUUCGGCUACGCAUCGUCGUCUUGGUAGGCCGUUACCCCACCAACUAACUAAUACGCCGCAGGCCCAUCUCUAAGCGAAGCUUUAAAGGCUUCUUUACUCCAUAGAGCGCAUUCGGUAUUAUCAACCGUUUCCAGUUGUUAUCCCCAACUUAGAGGUAGGUAACCCACGUGUUACUCACCCGUUUCGUCCACCUAGGUGGAAAUACCAA
rnacentral:rRNA from 1 species